rnacentral:SRP_RNA from 1 species
GGUGAGAGUCAUGUGAUCAGCUCCUGUUGAACCUCCCCAGGGUCGAAAGGCAGCAAGGAUAAAACGGUUGAGCGAUGCAUAUGGUUUCUCACCAUU